AACGAACGCUGGCGGCAUGCCUAACACAUGCAAGUCGAACGAGACCUUCGGGUCUAGUGGCGCACGGGUGCGUAACGCGUGGGAACCUGCCCUUAGGUUCGGAAUAACUCCCCGAAAGGGGUGCUAAUACCGGAUAAUGUCUUCGGACCAAAGAUUUAUCGCCUUUGGAUGGGCCCGCGUUGGAUUAGCUAGUUGGUAGGGUAAAAGCCUACCAAGGCGACGAUCCAUAGCUGGUCUGAGAGGAUGAUCAGCCACACUGGGACUGAGACACGGCCCAGACUCCUACGGGAGGCAGCAGUGGGGAAAAUUGGACAAUGGGCGAAAGCCUGAUCCAGCAAUGCCGCGUGAGUGAUGAAGGCCUUAGGGUUGUAAAGCUCUUUUGCCCGGGAUGAUAAUGACAGUACCGGGAGAAUAAGCUCCGGCUAACUCCGUG
rnacentral:rRNA from 1 species